rnacentral:lncRNA from 1 species
UAGCUCAAGUGAGUGUUUAAAUGGAGACAUCCCAGCACACGCUGCACACGACCCCACUCUGUGUUCUUCCCUGGCGUGCAUUUUCAUUUUUCUAAAUCACCACAUAUAGAGCUGCCUCGUUCAAACAAAACUGCACAGUUUCCCGUCAUCUGGAUGUACCAGAAUUGACUUGACCACCUUCCUACUGAGGGUUUUUUCUCUUACAAACACCCUCCGUUCGUGCACCUAUAUUUCUUCCUCCUUGGUGCAAGGCCAGUGCCCAUGCCCUGAGCAGCUCGCUCCACGCAGUCGCUCAGGCACUCGGCCCCUGCUUCCUGCUGCGCUCGGAUCCUGUCUUGUCCGUGUGGUCACGCUGGGUCCCCACUCAAGGACAGGGUAGGGGAGGGCAAUCCACGGGGCACUCUCCACUCCGGUCUGUCCACUCUGCUUCCCAUGGUGGCCACAGCCGGCUGCAGGGGAGACGCAGGUGCAUUUGCAGGUGCCCGGGGAGGGGAGAAGGGCUGGCGCACAGCUCGCAGACCCCUCCACAGAGCUCCCUGUGGUGUUGACCUGCAUUUCCUGGUGUCCUGAACCUUUUCAUGACUUUAAGGUCAAUGUAUUUCUUUUGCUGUGAAUGUCUGUUCGUCUUUGUUGCUCAUUUUUCCAUGAGGUCUGUGGUCUUUAUACGGGUUUGUUGGUAUUCUUAUUUACUAAAGAAAUUAACCUUUUCUCUAGGACUAUAGGUUGCAAAUACCCCAGUUUGGUUGUUUUCUCUUCGGAUUGUGUUUACAUUGUUUUUCUGUUGAAGAUGUACUUUAUUUUUGUGCACUCAAAUUUAUUAAUCUUUUAUUUUCACUUAUUUUAUUUUAUCUCCUGGACUUUUGUGUCAUAGUGAGAGAGACCUGCCCCUUAUUGAAAAUCGCUCAUAUUUUCAUUGCCCACUUCCACUGUCCCCAGUUAGACUCUGGUUUAUCUAGAAUUUAUUUGACUGAAAGGUGUGAGCUGUGGAUUCGGUUGAUUUCUCAGACGGCGUUGAGUUGUCUCAGCACCACAAGUGGACUAAUCUUUUCAAGACGGCCUGAAGUCACUUUUAUCUGCAGAUUCCGCUGGGAACCUCAGUGAGACGCUGAGCUUUCUAAGAUGCUAACUCAUCUGCUUCUGGACCAGCACUACCACCACCACCAGGAGGACUUUCAACCAGUAUUUGUGUGGCUCUUUUGAUUUUUACAUGUCUAAUAAAAAAAUAAGCCGGAAAUGUGGAUGUUAUUUCAGGACCAUUUCCCCAGGAUGCUUUGCACAUCUUUCCAUGUAAACCCUCCGAGUCCCUCUGUCUCAGGCCUGUGCCUGCACACCCUCCGAGUCCCUCUGUCUCAGGCCUGUGCCUGCACACCCUCCGAGUCCCUCUGUCUCAGGCCUGUGCCUGCACACCCUCCGAGUCCCUCUGUCUCAGGUCUGUGCCUGCACACCCUCUGAUCCCUGUGUCUCAGGUCUCUGCCUUCACACCCUCUGAGUCCCUCUGUCUCAGGCCUGUGCCUGCACACCCUCCGAGUCCCUCUGUCUCAGGCCUGUGCCUGCACGCCCUCCGAGUCCCUGUGUCUCAGGCCUGUGCCUGCACACCCUCCGAGUCCCUCUGUCUCAGGCCUGUGCCUGCACGCCCUCCGAGUCCCUCUGUCUCAGGCCUGUGCCUACACACCCUCCGAGUCCCUCUGUCUCAGGCCUGUGCCUGCACACCCUCUGAUCCCUCUGUCUUAGGUCUGUUCCACACACAGGGUGUGCUGCAUUUCGCGUUGUCAUUCAUCCUGACAGUCUCUUUUUUUCAUAGGUGAGCUGAGCUGACGUAUGGGCAUUUACUGAUACAAAGUCACAGUUGGUCUUAGUUUUGUUGUCUUAUUUCAUGUUACAGUUCUGGGUUGUAGUUAUUUCUCCUUAAAGAAACUGCUGUGUCUUCCCUCGUGUGCUGUGUGUGUUUCUUAAUUUGGAAGCGAGAUAUUUUGUUUCAGGUGAUAUUUUUGGUGACAGUUUUCCUUCCCUUCCAGAUCACAUUUUUCUUUUUCUUCUGCUGUGUGUUUUACUCAUUCCUUUCCCUUUAUUUCAUUUUUGUGGUCUUCCUGUCUCUCUGUAUGGAUCCUGUGCUCCUUUCUUUCUAUUUAUGACUAACCCUCAAGUCUGGGGAAUCCUCUCCGGACAGCUAUGGGAGGAGGGUCACGUGGGGCCCAGGGCCCUGCCCCCUCACCCAUCUCCCAGGAGACUGCGGGUGGGAAUGAGACCGGGGGUGGGUGUGAGCUGGGGUGGAUAUGAGGCAGGGUGGGUGUGAGGCGAGGUCUGUCUGAGGCAGGGUGCGCUUGAGGCUGGGGGCAUGAGGCCGGGGCAUACGUGAAGCAGGAGCAGGUGUGAGGCGGGGUCGGUGUGUAUUGGGGAUCAGCGUGAGGCAGGGGCUUGCGGGGGGCGUGAGGUGGGGUGCGUGUGAGGUGGGGGGAGGCGUGAGGCGGGGUCAGUGUGUACUGGGGGUGUGCGUGAGGCAUGGGUCGUGUGUAUUGGGGGUCGGUGUGAGGCUGGAGGAAGCGUGAGGUGGGGUCCGUGUGUAUUGGGGGUGCGCACGAGGCGGGGACGUGAGGCGGGGUCGGUGUGAUCCUGGAGGAGGCGUGAAGCGGGGUCCGUGUGUACUGGGGGUGCGCGUGAGGUGGGGGUGUGUGCGAGGCAGGGAGCAUGAGGAGAGGUCAGUGUGUAUUGGGGGUCGUUGUGAGGCUGGGGGAGGCGUGAGGCGGGGUCAGUGUGUAUUGGGGGUGCGUGUGAGGUGGGGCACGCGUGUGUCUCCCCCUCUGCCCUGCCAGUGGCCUGUCUGGGCUCAAGCUGUUUCCCUCCUGCCUCUCAGCCCCAGUGCCCACACCCGUGGGUGCGCUUUCCCGGGGCACGUGGCGCUUACCCAGAGGCUUUGACUCCAGCGUCCUGGGGUCUCUGAGUGAGUGUGGGCUCGCCUGUGCUCUGCGGGUGCAGCGCGUUCCCACUGGCGGCAGUCCUGGUGCUCCGUCUCCCUGUGCCCUUCAUCUCUAGGUAGGAGGAUGCUCUGCAGCCUGAGUAAAACCGCGGCCUCACUAAGGUGCAUAUCACCACACUGGAAAUAGGAAGGGAAGGACAGUCUCUUGCUGACCGAAGGCCGUCCCCACCUGCAUGUUUCAGCCCAAUGGCUCCACCCGAUUGGGAAGAAUUGUGCUGACUCCUUGUGCAAUUCACUGACGUCUUUUAAAAUUAGGUAUCACCGCAAAUUAUUAUUCCAUGCUCAUGGGCAAACGUCACAUGUAUUAGCGUGUUGUUAACGUGAAUGUUUAAGAUGCCAGCUGUGCACCAUUGGGCACUGUGGUUUUUUUGUAGUUUCCAUGUGUUCCAGGACAUUCUCUUUAAACAAAAUUAAGCACAACACAAGAGGAGCUGCUGGGGUCGAGUGUGGGGGCACUCGUCCACCCUCUGGGCCUCACACCUUCUGGUCCCACCCACCACCCUCUGGGCACAACCCGGUGGAGAAAACAUGCCAGGUGUGAACCACGAGCUCGUUCCAAAAGGGUGUCUGUAAGUAGAUCUCUCUCUGACAGAUGACGACAGAAUCCAUGGAGGGGGAAGUAGCUCCAAUAAGUCCCCGGGUUUAGUGGCGCCUGACGCUGAUGUGACUGUGCGGUGGGUGGGUGGGGCACUGAUGGAAAAGAAAAGAAAUCGAAAUUCCAGAGAGAACAUGACUGAGUCUCCCCAAGGCCCUGGGCUCUGACCUCCAGCUUCUCUGCAUUUUCCCGCAG